AGCACUUUGAAAAGAGGGUGAAAAGAACCUGAAACCGUUACGACAGAAGCGUAUUGCGUUGAAUUGAGGGCUGUUUAACUCUUCAGCUGAACGUGAGUUUAGUGUACUGAGUUAAGUAGUUAUCCGUCGUGCCUUUUCUGUGGCUGAUAUUGAGCCGCGGGAGAGGGAGGGAUCCCCUUUAUGGGUGAGGACGAUGGAGUGGCAACGCGAUGCGACCCGUCUUGAAACACGGACCAAGGAGUCUAACAUGUUUGCGAGUUGAAGGGUAGUAAACCUGGAGGCGCAGUGAAAGCGAACUUCUAAAACGGACAGUUUGUGGCGGCAUAAAAUCGUUGAUUUUAGGUCUGACUAAGAGCAAAUAUGUUAGGACCCGAAAGAUGGUGAACUAUGCUUGAGUAGGCCGAAGGCAGAAGAAAUUCUGCUGGAGGGCCGAAGCGGUGCUGACGUGCAAAUCGCUCGUCGAACUCGAGUAUAGGGGCGAAAGACUAAUCGAACCAUCUAGUAGCUGGUUCCCUCCGAAGUUUCUCUCAGGAUAGCGGGCCGACAAUUAUUGUUUUGUGCGGUAAAGCGAAUGAUUAGCGCACUCGGGGGCAUUCAGUCUUCGGUCGAUUCUCAAACUUUUAAUGCGCAAGGGGGCUGCAGCUUAGGUGUGCGGCUCCUCUAAAAAUGUCGGCCUUGUGGGCCACUUUUGGUAAGCAGAACUGGCGAUGUGGGAUGAACCAUACGCGUGGU
rnacentral:rRNA from 1 species